UCCCUGGUGGCCCAGUGGCUAAGACUCUGCACUCCCAAUGCAAGAGGCCUGGGUUCGAUCCCUGGUGAGGGAA
rnacentral:tRNA from 1 species